AUUACAAAGACUUCAACAUCAAAUUCGACCCCUUUACUGAUUUGGAGUCCAGUGAAGCUAAAGUUCGUUCACCCAACAGAAAUAGUUAAGCCCCUCCUCAACAAUUACCGCCACAUUUGAAUACGGCAUUGUUAUUGGUGUAAUUUUUGAAGCCACAAUCACACUUGCAAAGCGAAUUGGCCGAAUUGGGUAAUCUGUCAUCUGUCAUCUUGCCUAUUGCGUUUCUGCCGGUUUUUACGUUUUUACAUCUUUACUUGCGUCAAUUUGCCAUUAAUCUCCUUUAUUCACACAAAAUAGUCUUUAUAAAGACUCGUCGGUGUAUUCUAAAGAUAGUCAGGGUUAUAUUAUUCGCGAUCAAGAAAAGUUGUACGCAAACAUGAAUGUCGCCGGUGCUGCUUUCUCUCCACCGAAAAAACGUUCUGCCAAGCACUUUUCAGUUGAAGACAAAACUGGCAUUUUAAAUAUCUUCAAGGCAUAUGCGGAAGACAACCCGGAGGUAUCUAAAACGGAUAAAGUUGAGUUUACGGCUAAAGCAGCAGGUGUAAGCAUUCCGAGUGUCUACAAGAUUCUUCGGGAGUAUACAGAGGUACACGAACUUCAUUUACCUAAAAAAUAUUAUCGACCACGAGCAAUUUUGGACAAUAUUGAUUCCGGAACUAAAAGUAUUCUUCGACGUUUGCUUCAUUUCUUUCAAACCACCUACCCUGAGUAAAGUUUUGGCAGUGUUACACGUCCACUAUUUCAACAAGCAGUGGAACAUGUUACUGCUGAAAAUUGGAAGAAUGCAAUUCGCCAUGCUCAAAGUGAAGAGGAAAAAAUGUGGCAAAUUGACAUUUUAAUGGACAUCGUAGGGGAGCCAUUAGUAAUUCAUGUGAGAGAUGACUCGACAUCAACGGAGUCCGAAUCCGAGUGAAGCGAUACAGGAUUUAAAUUGUUAUGUACCUUUGUUUAUAUUCAAGUGCACUUGUAAUUUCAAAACUUUGUGCUGCUGUAAUAAUACUUUUUUGUACUUUUCGCAAUAUAAACAGUGUUUUUAUGUUGCAUAUUUACAUGUAUUUAACAGUUUGCAGGUUUUACUCUUUGCCACGAGUUAUG